UUUACUUUAUGUAGAUGAAUGUUUGCCUGCAUGGAUGUAUGUGCACCAUGUGCAUGCUUGUUGGAUUUCCUGGAAUUGGGGGUUAUGAAUGGUUGCCAGUCACCAUGUGGGUGCUGGGAAUCAAACCUGGGUCCUCUGCGCAUCUUCACAAUCUCCUUUUCUUAACUCAGCACCCCUUACCUUAAGACCGCUCCCCGGGCAUGUCUUCUGCAUGGCCCCGAGGAUUGUGCGCCCCAUCGCCAUCUCUUCACUUCUACUGAUUUCAGACUUGGAAGAGCGCAGGAGUCUGGUCGGCCUGCCUCCACCCUCCUCACAGCUUCCAGACAGAGAUGCAGCACGGAGUCCUUUGCCCCUUGCCCCAUUAGCCUAGAGAACAGAAAAGGUCUGUGUUUCAUGUCUCCGUGCACAUAACAUUGCCUGCCAUUUGUAUAUAGAAAUUCAGUGGAUUUUUAAAAUAUAGAAACUUUUAUGGGGUACAAGUGUUUUGCCAGCACAUAGGCCUGUGAACCCCAUGCAUACGAUCCGAUCCCCAAGAACUGGAGUUAUGAAAGCUUGUUAGUCGCCGUGUGAGUGCUGAGAACCGAACUGUGUUCUCUGGAAGAGGAGCCUGUGCUCUUAAUCUCUGACCCAUCUCUCCAGCUCCCACAAUGUACUUAUUAUUUAUUUGUUUAUUUAUAUUUUGAUUGAUAAGUUUUACCAUGGAUAAAAUAAGCCAACUCAAACCAAGUUAAAGUAUUAAAAAGGCAGGUUUACUGGGGACAGCUCUCAGGAGGGUUCACUGGUUUCACAGGAGGAUGUCAGGGAAAUUGCCUGGCAGAUAGGGAGACAGAGGAAAGGGAGAGA
rnacentral:lncRNA from 1 species